rnacentral:rRNA from 1 species
AGGACGAACGCUGGCGGCGUGCUUAACACAUGCAAGUCGAGCGGAAAGGCCCUUCGGGGUACUCGAGCGGCGAACGGGUGAGUAACACGUGAGCAACCUGCCCUUAGCUCUGGGAUAGCUCCGGGAAACCGGAAUUAAUACCGGAUACGACCUAGGCCGACAUCGGCCAUGGUGGAAAGUUUUUCGGCUAGGGAUGGACUCGCGGCCUAUCAGCUAGUUGGUGGGUAAAGGCCUACCAAGGCGACGAUCGGUAGCUGGUCUGAGAGGAUGAUCAGCCACACUGGGACUGAGACACGGCCCAGACUCCUACGGGAGGCAGCAGUGGGGAAUUUUGGACAAUGGGGGCAACCCUGAUCCAGCCAUGCCGCGUGCGGGAAGAAGGCCUUCGGGUUGUAACCGCUUUAGUCGGGAAGAAGGUUCGUCCUAACAGGGAGGAGUUUUGACGGUACCGGCGGAAUAAGCACCGGCUAACUACGCGCCAGCAGCCGC